rnacentral:rRNA from 1 species
UUCGGAAUUAUUGGGCGUAAAGGGCGCGUAGGCGGAUUAGUAAGUUAAAAGUGAAAUCCCAAGGCUCAACCUUGGAAUUGCUUUUAAAACUGCUAAUCUAGAGAUUGAAAGAGGAUAGAGGAAUUCCUAGUGUAGAGGUGAAAUUCGUAAAUAUUAGGAGGAACACCAGUGGCGAAGGCAUCUAUCUGGUUCAAAUCUGACGCUGAGGCGCGAAGGCGUGGGGAGCAAACAGGAUAACAUACUGAUAGUCCCCACUGUAAACGAUGAAUGUUAAAUAUAGGGAGUUUUACUUUUUGUAUUACAGCUAACGCGUUAAACAUUCCGCCUGCACACUACGGUCGCAAGAUUAAAACUCAAAGGAAUUGACGGGGACCCGCACAAGCGGUGGAGCAUGUGGUUUAAUUCGAUGCAACGCGAAAAACCUUACCACUCCUUGACAUGGAAAUUAUACCUAUUCGAAGGGAUAGGGUCGGUUUGGCCGGGUUUCACACAGGUGUUGCAUGGCUGUCGUCAGCUCGUGUCGUGAGAUGUUGGGUUAAGUCCCGCAACGAGCGCAACCCUCAUCCUUAGUUACCAUCAGGUAAUGCUGGGGACUUUAAAGAAACUGCCAGUGAUAAACUGGAGGAAGGUGGGGAUGAUGUCAAGUCAUCAUGGCCCUUAUGGAGUGGGCUACACACGUGCUACAAUGGUGGCUACAAUGGGCUGCAAAGUCGCGAGGCUAAGCUAAUCCCUUAAAAACCAUCUCAGUUCGGAUUGUACUCUGCAACUCGAGUGCAUGAAGUUGGAAUCGCUAGUAAUCGUGGAUCAGCACGCCACGGUGAAUACGUUCUCGGGUCUUGUACACACUGCCCGUCACGCCAUGGGAAU